rnacentral:rRNA from 1 species
UACAGAGGGGGCAAGCGUUGUUCGGAAUUACUGGGCGUAAAGGGCGCGUAGGCGGCCUGCUAAGUCGAACGUGAAAUCCCUGGGCUCAACCCAGGAACUGCGUCCGAUACUGGUUGGCUUGAAUCCGGGAGAGGGAUGUGGAAUUCCAGGUGUAGCGGUGAAAUGCGUAGAUAUCUGGAGGAACACCGGUGGCGAAGGCGGCAUUCUGGACUGCAACUGACACUGAACGACGAAAGCCAGGGGAGCAAACGGG